rnacentral:rRNA from 1 species
AGAGUUUGAUCCUGGCUCAGAACGAACGCUGGCGGCAUGCCUAAUACAUGCAAGUCGAACGAGAUCUUCGGAUCUAGUGGCGCACGGGUGCGUAACGCGUGGGAAUCUGCCCUUGGGUUCGGAAUAACUUCUGGAAACGGAAGCUAAUACCGGAUGAUGACGUAAGUCCAAAGAUUUAUCGCCCAAGGAUGAGCCCGCGUAGGAUUAGCUAGUUGGUGAGGUAAAGGCUCACCAAGGCGACGAUCAGUAGCUGGUCUGAGAGGAUGAUCAGCCACAUUGGGACUGAGACACGGCCCAAACUCCUACGGGAGGCAGCAGUGGGGAAUCUUGCGCAAUGGGCGAAAGCCUGACGCAGCCAUGCCGCGUGAAUGAUGAAGGUCUUAGGAUUGUAAAAUUCUUUCAGUAGGGACGAUAAUGACGGUACCUACAGAAGAAGCCCCGGCUAACUUCGUGCCAGCAGCCGCGGUAAUACGAAGGGGGCUAGCGUUGCUCGGAAUCACUGGGCGUAAAGCGCUCGUAGGCGGUUUGGUAAGUCAGAUGUGAAAGCCCUCGGCUCAACCGGGGAACUGCAUUUGAUACUGCCAGACUUGAGUGUCGGAGAGGGUGGCGGAAUUCCGGGUGUAGGAGUGAAAUCCGUAGAUAUCCGGAGGAACACCAGUGGCGAAGGCGGCCACCUGGACGACAACUGACGCUGAGGAGCGAAAGCGUGGGUAGCAAACAGGAUUAGAUACCCUGGUAGUCC